ensembl:snRNA U6 U6 spliceosomal RNA
GUUCUCGCUUUGGCAGCACAUAUACUAAAAUUAGAACGAUACAGAAAAGAUUAGCAUGGCCCCUACACAAGCAUGACACACAAAUUCAAGAAGCAUUCCAUAUUUUU